rnacentral:tRNA from 1 species
UACCCGGUAGUGUAACGGUAGCACAAGUGAUUUUGGUUCACUUCGUCAAGGUUCGAAUCCUUGCCGGGUAA